rnacentral:pre_miRNA from 1 species
AGUUGGAAGGUUAGGUUUUUGCAUAUAUACAUACAUAUAUAUAUAUCUCUGAACAAAUGCCAGAUCUAACUCUUCCAGCUCA